GACGAACGCUGGCGGCGUGCUUAACACAUGCAAGUCGAACGGAAAGGCCCUGCUUUUGUGGGGUGCUCGGGUGGCGAACGGGUGAGUAACACGUGAGUAACCUGCCCUUGACUUUGGGAUAACUUCAGGAAACUGGGGCUAAUACCGGAUAGGAGCUCCUGCUGCAUGGUGGGGGUUGGAAAGUUUCGGCGGUUGGGGAUGGACUCGCGGCUUAUCAGCUUGUUGGUGGGGUAGUGGCUUACCAAGGCUUUGACGGGUAGCCGGCCUGAGAGGGUGACCGGCCACAUUGGGACGGAGAUACGGCCCAGACUCCUACGGGAGGCAGCAGUGGGGAAUAUUGCACAAUGGGCGGAAGCCUGAUGCAGCAACGCCGCGUGCGGGAUGACGGCCUUCGGGUUGUAAACCGCUUUCGCCUGUGACGAAGCGUGAGUGACGGUAAUGGGUAAAGAAGCACCGGCUAACUACGUG
rnacentral:rRNA from 1 species